rnacentral:rRNA from 1 species
GACGAACGCCGGCGGCGUGCUUAACACAUGCAAGUCGAACGGUAAGGCCCUUCGGGGUACACGAGUGGCGAACGGGUGAGUAACACGUGGGUGAUCUGCCCUGCACUUCGGGAUAAGCCUGGGAAACUGGGGCUACUACCGGAUAGGACCACUGCCUGCAUGGGUGGUGGUGGAAAGCUUUUGCGGUGUGGGAUGGGCCCGCGGCCUAUCAGCUUGUUGGUGGGGUGAUGGCCUACCAAGGCGACGACGGGUAGCCGGCCUGAGAGGGUGACCGGCCACACUGGGACUGAGAUACGGCCCAGACUCCUACGGGAGGCAGCAGUGGGGAAUAUUGCACAAUGGGCGCAAGCCUGAUGCAGCGACGCCGCGUGAGGGAUGACGGCCUUCGGGUUGUAAACCUCUUUCAGCACCGACGAAGCGCAAGUGACGGUAGGUGCAGAAGAAGGACCGGCCAACUACGUGCCAGCAGCCGCCGUAA